AUCUAAUCGGUAAUCAACACCUAAACAAUUCCAACUAGUUGCAAACUGAACGGGACAAUUUUCCGGUGUGUCCUUUAUGGACUGUACUCCGUCUUAGCACUAUCCUCAAGUUUUACCCGAGAGACCACGCUUCAGGUUGGACCGUCUUCCAUAUAUCUACUGACUUCAUAUAAAUGAAAGUGUACUAAGGACUCGCUGAUCUGCACUACCAGCUCAUGUUCAACGUUACUGAACAACAAAGUAAUCCGACAAUCAGACUGGACCCGGUCACGUUAGGUAAGUUUACAUACCUACUGCAUACUACAUACAUACUAUUUCUGAACCUCAGUAAAAUAUGGUUUUAUAAUGAUGAUAGUGCUUAUUAUCUACGAGUAAGCCUACUUAACAAGAGUAUUACAAAUUUCAAUCAAUUUUCAUGAAAUUCAUUAAGCAAUUGUGACAAUGAUCAAGCAGUGGUGGA